rnacentral:rRNA from 1 species
AUUGAACGCUGGCGGCAUGCCUUACUCUUGCAAGUCGAACGGCAGCACGGAGCUUGCUCUGGUGGCGAGUGGCGAACGGGUGAGUAAUAUAUCGGAACGUACCCUAGAGUGGGGAUAACGUAGCGAAAGUUACGCUAAUACCGCAUACGAUCUAAGGAUGAAAGUGGGGGAUCGCAAGACCUCAUGCUCGUGGAGCGGCCGAUAUCUGAUUAGCUAGUUGGUAGGGUAAAAGCCUACCAAGGCAUCGAUCAGUAGCUGGUCUGAGAGGACGACCAGCCACACUGGAACUGAGACACGGUCCAGACUCCUACGGGAGGCAGCAGUGGGGAAUUUUGGACAAUGGGCGAAAGCCUGAUCCAGCAAUGCCGCGUGAGUGAAGAAGGCCUUCGGGUUGUAAAGCUCUUUUGUCAGGGAAGAAACGGUGAAAGCUAAUAUCUUUUGCUAAUGACGGUACCUGAAGAAUAAGCACCGGCUAACUACGUGCCAGCAGCCGCGGUAAUACGUAGGGUGCAAGCGUUAAUCGGAAUUACUGGGCGUAAAGCGUGCGCAGGCGGUUUUGUAAGUCUGAUGUGAAAUCCCCGGGCUCAACCUGGGAAUUGCAUUGGAGACUGCAAGGCUAGAAUCUGGCAGAGGGGGGUAGAAUUCCACGUGUAGCAGUGAAAUGCGUAGAUAUGUGGAGGAACACCGAUGGCGAAGGCAGCCCCCUGGGUCAAGAUUGACGCUCAUGCACGAAAGCGUGGGGAGCAAACAGGAUUAGAUACCCUGGUAGUCCACGCCCUAAACGAUGUCUACUAGUUGUCGGGUCUUAAUUGACUUGGUAACGCAGCUAACGCGUGAAGUAGACCGCCUGGGGAGUACGGUCGCAAGAUUAAAACUCAAAGGAAUUGACGGGGACCCGCACAAGCGGUGGAUGAUGUGGAUUAAUUCGAUGCAACGCGAAAAACCUUACCUACCCUUGACAUGGCUGGAAUCCUUGAGAGAUCAGGGAGUGCUCGAAAGAGAACCAGUACACAGGUGCUGCAUGGCUGUCGUCAGCUCGUGUCGUGAGAUGUUGGGUUAAGUCCCGCAACGAGCGCAACCCUUGUCAUUAGUUGCUACGAAAGGGCACUCUAAUGAGACUGCCGGUGACAAACCGGAGGAAGGUGGGGAUGACGUCAAGUCCUCAUGGCCCUUAUGGGUAGGGCUUCACACGUCAUACAAUGGUACAUACAGAGCGCCGCCAACCCGCGAGGGGGAGCUAAUCGCAGAAAGUGUAUCGUAGUCCGGAUUGUAGUCUGCAACUCGACUGCAUGAAGUUGGAAUCGCUAGUAAUCGCGGAUCAGCAUGUCGCGGUGAAUACGUUAAAGGGUCU